CACCCGAAUCUCUCCUACCAACUCACGCAUAGUCUUCUCCUCCCUCUCCCCUCUCCGCGAAUCUCUCCUUCGAACUCCUCUCCGUCCAACCUCUCUUCCACAAACCCCUCUCCACGAAUCUCUCCUCUGAACACCUUCAAACAGUGAGCUUUUUUAGCACCAGUCGUGCCUUGCCUUGAAAGCCUUCACUGCCGCUCGAAGUGAGCAGUAAUACGAUGUCGAUCUCAACCUCUACGCGUCUCCACCUUGUCCAGGUGCGGAUCGCGGCAGGAGAUCGAUACCUUGGUUACUGAUCUAAUGGAGGAAGGAUGACUCUCCACGGAGACCUCCAAGGGGGUUCCCUAAUGGCCGAUUGAUGGCGAGGAGGAGAGCUAAUCGGCGAGCCGAUCAGCGGUGGUGUAGAAGGUCAAGAUUGGAUUUUACUUCGCCGUGUGGUGAGCGCUGAACGUGGUGUUCAACAUCUACAACAAGAAGUUUCUUAACGUCUUCCCCUAGCCUUGGCUGACCUCCACACUCCCCCUUGCUGCCGGCUAGCUCCCUCAUGUUUUAGGUCAAGUUUGAUUUAACCUCUUCAAAGAACAUGUUGAAAUGACAAAAAAGAUUUGUGGCAAUGCAAAUGUCCGUUACGCAUGGCUUGCUUCCUCCAAGGAUGCGGUGGAUGAGAUGAUGUCUCAUGGGGUUCUGAAGCAACCUGUGCAGAAAUGACUUUAUGGAAAUGGACUUCAUCUUGCCCUUACAAAUUGCUCUGAUAUCUGCAUUGCGUAAGCUUUGUGAAGAUGCUUCGGCAGUUAUGCAGGAUCUAUAAAAUCUUGAAGUUUUGAUCUGGAUAGGCGAGGACUUGGAGAAAUGGAAUCUUUCAUAUGAAGAGGAAGAGGAAAUUGUUUGUGCAAUAACUCUUACACUCAAUACAAUUGUUAACAAGGAGCUGAAGAAGAGUUCACUGUCUAGAUUACUUUCUUCUAGAUACAAAGCCAUUGAGAAACUUGUAUGUUAUUUAGCUUGCAUUUUUAAAUUGUAAAGAAAGUGAAUCUCAUGCUUUCUAGAAUUCUAGUUCAUUCGACAGCAUUUUUAAAUUACAUGUACCUCUCAAUGAUUAUGUAGGAUGUUUAGUAGAAGAUCGAUGUUGAGGAAUUGUUAUACAUGAUCACAUGGAUAAUUACACACUUUAUGAUAUCUAUAUUAUAUAUAAUAUUGUCAAUAUUGGUUACAUUGCUGUGACAUCC